rnacentral:lncRNA from 1 species
AGGUCACCCUCUGGAAAUACCUUCCCUAGAGCGUGUCGUAUCCUGCCUUUCCCCUGGGGACCUGCAGAAAGGGAAGAGAGAGACAGGAGCCCAGUGGAUUUGAAGGAUGGCCCUGGGUUGCAAUCCCCACUUACAAGAUGGCCAAGCUCCUAGAGCCUCAAUGCCCUCUGGGGAGAUUGGUAAAGGAAAAAAAAAAUUUUUUUAAUGUGUAUAUAUAUAUUCAUAUGACGCUUGUUAAAGUAUGACAAGCAAGACUUUACUGGGCAGGGAAACUUUCUCCAUAGAUGUAGGGACCCCUGCAAUGGGAUUUUGCAGUGAGGGAGAAAGAUUAGACUUGAUUCCCAGUAGGUCAUGGGUAAGUGUGAAUUUGUAGCCAAGAAGCAGGUGGGGGGUCAGCGAAUGGAAAUUUACUAGGAGGGAAGUCCAGGAGUCAGAGGGAUUCGGGCUCAGCUAACCUAAGAGGAUUCUUGCUGAAGACAGGCCAGGGUGCUCAGACAUCACCUGGGGGACCGCGGAGGAUGAGGAAACUAAUCAGAUAUCGAGGGUGAUCAGAAAUCGAAGAUGGGUGGUUGCUACUAAACAGACUUAGCAGAGUUCAUGCCAAAACUGAAUUUUUCUUUCUUUCUUUUCUUUUUUUUUUUUGAGACAGAGUCUCACUCUGUCCCCCAGGCUAGAGCGCAGUUGCGCCAUCUCCGCUCACUGCAACCUCCGCCUUCCAGGUUCAAGCGAUUCUUCUGCCUCAGACUCCCGAGUAGCUGGGAUUAUAGGCACCCGCCAUCGUGCCCGGCUAAUUUUUGUAUUUUUUAGUAGAGUUGGAUUUCACCAUCUUGGCCAGGCUGGUCUUGAACUCCUGACCUCAUGAUCCACCUGCCUCCACCUCCCAAAGUGCUGGGAUUACAGACGUGAGCCACCUCGCCUGGCCCAAAACUGAAUUUUUAUAAGGAACCUCACUGAUGGGCUUAGGAGAAGAUUCAGAAAUCCGAUUAAUGUUUGGUCAAUCAAAGCAUCUUUAUAGGCAGUAACAUUAUUCCCAGGCACCUCCAGGUUGUUAGUUUUCCUCCUUAUAAACGGACAUAACAGUAGCCAACUCACAGAUGUACCAUGAAGAAUACAUGAGGUAAUUCUCUUUCUCCUUGUAUUUUCAAUUUUGAGUUAUCAAUUACAUAAUGUUUGCUAUAUGCCAGGCCCUGCUCUAUGGGCUUUAUAAAUAUGAAUUCAUUUAACCCUCACCAGCAAUCCUGUGAGGUAAGAGUACCAGUAUUAUCCCAUUUUACAGAUGAGAAAACUACCAUAGAAGUGUUCAUGAAUAGUAGCUUCUAUUAUUAUUAUGACUGUUAAUACUGAUAAUUAUUGAAAGAUGUUACACUCAGGCAGGAGGUCUGGUCUGAAACUCAAAGCCCCAAAUCUAGACUUUCCUGCUCUUCCCAUGCAGCUGGAAGAAUGAAUUUACAAAUCCUCCUUUGGCUUGGAGGCCUCUUCGGCUUGGGUUCUAAUCUUUGAUCUGUCCGCAACAGGCAGAAAAUUUUAGGCAUGUCGUUUUCCCUGUGUGGGCUUUCGGGUCUCAGCCCUGCCUUCUUCACGAGAUGAGGGUAAACUGAGGAUAUUAAGGAAUUCAGUGAGUCAUAGGUUGAGAAAUUGUUUUGAUAUUAAACAGUGAGUGCAUGAGGCAGUUUGCUAAAAAUAAUAAUACGGAGAAAAACAAUCACUGUCGCCCAUUGCCUCCUGUGCGUCUGCUUUUAGAGUUAGUACAUUUCAGACAUUACUGAGUUAAAUCCUGACUCGAUAGUUAAACGUCACUAUUAUCAUCACCCCCAUUUUGCAGGUGAAAAAACAGAGGCACAGAGGUUUGACCCUUGCACACAGAUAUGGAGUGGCAGAGCCUGGGUGGGAACCUGGGUUGUUCUGAAUCCCGGAUCUGUGCUUAACCGACAGACAGAGACCCCUGCCCUCCUCCCCAGCUGAGAAAGAAUGGUGGGGACCCCACGGCAUGACAUGUCCCGAGUGACUGGGCCCCCACUGGAUGUAGGGUGAGCUCAUCAGGCUGGAAGCUUCGGGCUGACGUCAUGGCUGGGCACAGAAGCUUCAGCUCUCUCUGUAAUUACAGCUGGGCGGGGCUGGCUGAGUUGGAAACCAGUUGUGGGGAGAAUCACUGCAAGCCGCAUGACGCACCGGAGAAACCUGGCCCUGCCUGGGACCUGGGCAGGGGCUGGGACCCCCCCUACAAUGACACUAAUGGAAUUCCCAGCAUACUCGGCUCCAUGAAAGCAGGACCCUUGGGAGUCCUGUUCACAGUAGCAUCCCCAGCGCCUAGAGGGAGCCUGCUGCACUGUAGAAGCCCAGCAUAUCUUGGAUGAGUAGAUGAUGUCGUAUCAGCAACCCUGGGUCUGAAUUGCCAACUCCCACUGGGUAGACUCUACAUGCAGUAACAACAUCAACAUAUUAACUAAUUUCUGCAGUCCAUAGAAGGUGCCGGGCACCAAGGUUUCCCAAGCGUGCUCUUUUUAAUUUUCAUCACAGCCCCCUAGAGGUUUUAUACUAUCAUUAUUCCCUUUUUACAGAUGAGGAAACUGAGGCAAAAGACAUGAGGUGACCUGCCUGAGGCCACCAGCUUAUGGAUUCUGAACCCAGGUCUGUCUGAACUUUAAGCCCAGGCCUCUUUUCUCUGCCACACACCCCAGCAAGAAUGAAUAAAUAAACAAAAUAAAACAAA